AACAUUCUUCAGGGCAGGGCGUAAUUCCCGACCGGCGGUAAAAGUCCGCGAACCUUACGAGGUUGAUCCAGUGAAACUCUGGAGCCGACAGUAUAGUCUGGAUGGAAGAAGAAUGGA
rnacentral:ncRNA from 2 species